UAAAUCAUGCUUAGGUUUAUGGUCCUGGGGGCCUCUGCUCUCCUGGGAAGUGUUUCUGACUCCAAGCAGGUGUCCUCAUGUCCUAAGACUCUCACCCCACAUUUCUCUUUUUCUUUGCCUCACUCUUCCUUCUGUCCAAAAUUGGCCUUGAUUUCUUAUUUCCUUCCCCUUUUUACUUCUUUGAAAGCCGUAGGUUCACUAGUAGGAGGGAAAUGCUGAGAAAAGAGGUUGAAUGCCCACUCUGUAUCCUUUUGAACACCCAGUCUGUAUCCUUUUGUAUUUGAGGUGAAAAGAGACCUGGUGAGCUAACUUACAGUGGGAGUGAUGGAAGGUUAUAGGAGUGGCAGGCAUGAAGGAAAGGGAAGAGGGAGGUACAGAAAGAACAUGUUGGCUGGGCUCUAUGUGUCAGAGCUGAUCUCACAAAGGCGUAUUCUCCCUAAUGAGGGAAGAUGGGUUUCUGGCCUAUAGAAGACAGAGCAGUAGAGGGGAAGUGCUUGGCAAGGAGGAGACUGCUGGCAGCUGGCACCUGUUGUAGGGAACUGGGCCACUCACCUUCAGUGCCUCUUGGCAGCAAGGCAACGGACUUCCUAAUGGAGACUGAGGAAGCCGGAACUCGGAGAGAUAAUGAACUGAAAUAGGAUUCCUGUCUGAAUUGAAAGUCAGAGCUGGUGGUAAUGAAUGCAGUUGUCUCCACUGAGCCUGGAAACUGCACUCAACAUGGAAUUUUGUGAAAUGAAGCCUUCCUUCUAGUGCAACAGAUUAUGAGGAGAAGAAUAUAUGUUUAAAUCGCUGUUAAACUGAGUUAAGCAAACUUAGGCGGUAGCCUUCCACCUCAACAGAUCGAUCCUGCAAGCUAGGUGUUCAGACAUCCUGAGAGGCUUGACGGAGGCUUAACAUCUUGCUGAGUCUUCCAGCAACCUCUGAAACGAAACAGGUGCUAAAAUCUUUCUGCCAUCUAGGAGCUUAAGCAUCUUAAGGGCAACCCAAGACUAUUGUCCAAGGCUGUUUCUCUGAAUGGACAGAUAUCCUCAAAUUGGAAGGUUGUGUUAUUAAUGGGAGAGCAAAAGCAGGGGGAGAGUUGCAAGCACUCUGGAAAUCCAGAGAGAUGUUUUCCUGGGCUGGGGAGUAUCGGCAAAAAAGCCUAGACUCUGGAGCACAUUAAAAGAAGGAACUGAAGGAAUAUUUAUCCUAUAACAAUGUUGGAUAACACGUCUUUUGAUCCUGAACUUCCCAACAUCAUUAACAUUUCUACUGCAUUGAAUGGAAAAAAACAUUCUGGACUGCAGAGAUUUUACCCUUAAGAGAAACUUCCUUCUUGUUCUGAAUUUUAUACGACAGAAAAAUCAUCUACAAACGCACUGGAAAUACUGGAAAAUAGUAUCACUGAGGUCUGAUGAUCAAUCUUCUCAGGAAUGGUCUGGAAAACAAAAAAGCAGGGAGAACAAACUUUGCUAGAAGAAAUUUAAGUGCACUGGGGGAGCAGAGGUGGGGCAGCUCUACCAUGAUCUUGACAAAGAAGCAAAAUGGGAUACUCAAGGCACCACUCAAUUCUCCCAUCCACAUCUACACGUGCGGUGGCCUUGGAUUCCCAUCAGAGCCCACAUGCUAUGACGUCUGGAGAUUGGUGAGAUCCGUGUAGCCACCUCAGAUACAGUCUGUAGGUUGUCAGAUUGGGACCCCUGUGACUCAUGAAGAUAUUUACAGGGAGUAGCCAGCUCUGCAGGAAUGAGGAGGA